rnacentral:rRNA from 1 species
UACGAAGGGGGCUAGCGUUGCUCGGAAUCACUGGGCGUAAAGGGUGCGUAGGCGGGUUUUUAAGUCAGGGGUGAAAUCCUGGAGCUCAACUCCAGAACUGCCUUUGAUACUGAAGAUCUUGAGUCCGGGAGAGGUGAGUGGAACUGCGAGUGUAGAGGUGAAAUUCGUAGAUAUUCGCAAGAACACCAGUGGCGAAGGCGACUGACUGGACAGAUAUUGACGCUGAGGUGCGAAAGCGUGGGGAGCAAACAGG